rnacentral:rRNA from 1 species
UACGUAGGGUGCAAGCGUUGUCCGGAAUUAUUGGGCGUAAAGAGCCUGUAGGCGGUUUGUCGCGUCUGCCGUGAAAAUCCGGGGCUCAACCCCGGACUUGCGGUGGGUACGGGCAGACUAGAGUGUGGUAGGGGAGACUGGAAUUCCUGGUGUAGCGGUGAAAUGCGCAGAUAUCAGGAGGAACACCGGUGGCGAAGGCGGGUCUCUGGGCCGAUACUGACGCUGAGGAGCGAAAGCGUGGGGAGCGAACAGG